rnacentral:rRNA from 1 species
AACGAACGCUGGCGGCAUGCCUAACACAUGCAAGUCGAACGAGACCUUCGGGUCUAGUGGCGCACGGGUGCGUAACGCGUGGGAACCUGCCCUUAGGUUCGGAAUAACUCCCCGAAAGGGGUGCUAAUACCGGAUAAUGUCUUCGGACCAAAGAUUUAUCGCCUUUGGAUGGGCCCGCGUUGGAUUAGCUAGUUGGUAGGGUAAAAGCCUACCAAGGCGACGAUCCAUAGCUGGUCUGAGAGGAGGAUCAGCCACACUGGGACUGGGACACGGCCCAGACUCCUACGGGAGGCAGCAGUGGGGAAUAUUGGACAAGGGGCGAAAGCCUGAUCCAGCAAGGCCGCGUGAGUGAUGAAGGCCUUAGGGUUGUAAAGCUCUUUUACCCGGGAUGAUAAUGACAGUACCGGGAGAAUAAACUCCGGCUAACUCCGU